UGCGGUCGUUCUCGCCGACAACCUUUUCGUCCGUUCUCUCCGCAUCCCACGUGCCGUUCGCGCCCGGACAAAUAGCGUCGCGACGCUUUCGCGGUGUCACCGCCCGUGUCCAUUCUCCGGAAGUCACGGUGGUUUUGGUGCGCACAUGCCGUUGCCGGUGACCCGGCCGCCCGCCGACGACUACGGGCCGUUGCGCGAAUUCGUGCACCGGCUGGUGGACGAUCUGUUGUGGGACCUGGAGCCGUUGCUGCGUUGGUACGUCGGGAGCAACGCGGAUGUCCUGGUCGGGAUCGCGUGGCAAGUAGGGAUACGCGUGCCCAGCGUCAUCCACUGGACUCGCACGGUCGCGUGUUUCUGUAGGUACAACAGCUUCACGCGCCAGCUGGUGUACAGUUUGCCGAGCGAGCUGCUUUACCCGCUGCACAACGAUUGGUCGAGCCGCGCGUGAACGAGGUGUACGCCGUCGAUCCCGUUGCCGGUGCCGUGAUGCGCAGCAAACAUCGGCUUGACUUUGACCGACAGACCGACCGAUUCUUUAUUGCAACCGUUCAUAACUUUUCGAUAAAACGUGGUGCUAGUAAUUCGUUCAUGGUUUUAAAACAUUUUUUUACGCGGUUGUACGUUCAUUAUUUAAAUGUACAAUUGUUUGAACGUUAAAAUCGUGGUUUGUUGCGUACGCAAUUUGUGUUGUUUUAUUUAACGUAAAUUAUUACCGAGAUAUUUACAUAAGUUAUAUUGAGUACUAACGUUGUACUGUAAACAUAUUUCCAUACAACUACUAC